GGCGAACGCUGGCGGCGUACUUAACACAUGCAAGUCGAACGAGGGGUUUCGGUGUAGCAAUACACCGGAGCUUCGAGUGGCGCACGGGUGAGUAACACGUGGGUGACCUGCCCUCAGCUCUGGGAUAAGCCUGGGAAACCGGGUCUAAUACCGGAUAUGACUCCAUGACGCAUGUUGUGGGGUGGAAAGCCUUGUGCGGCUGAGGAUGGGCCCGCGGCCUAUCAGCUUGUUGGUGGGGUGAUGGCCUACCAAGGCGACGACGGGUAGCCGGCCUGAGAGGGCGACCGGCCACACUGGGACUGAGACACGGCCCAGACUCCUACGGGAGGCAGCAGUGGGGAAUCUUGCGCAAUGGGCGAAAGCCUGACGCAGCGACGCCGCGUGAGGGAUGACGGCCU
rnacentral:rRNA from 1 species